rnacentral:rRNA from 1 species
UACGUAGGCAGCGAGCGUUGUUCGGAGUUACUGGGCGUAAAGGGUGUGUAGGCGGUUGCUUAAGUUUGGUGUGAAAUCUCCCGGCUCAACUGGGAGGGUGCGCCGAAUACUGAGUGACUCGAGUGCGGGAGAGGAGAGUGGAAUUCCUGGUGUAGCGGUGAUAUGCGUAGAUAUCAGGAGGAACACCGGUGGUGUAGACGGCUCUCUGGACCGUAACUGACGCUGAGACACGAAAGCGUGGGUAGCAAACAGG